CUGGCGGCGUGGAUAAGACAUGCAAGUCGAGCGCUGAUUACAGGGUAGCAAUAUUCUGUGGUCGGAGCGGCGCAAGGGUGCGUAACACGUGGGUAAUCUGCCAUGAAGUUUGGAAUAACUUGCUGAAAGGCGAGCUAAUACCGGAUGUGACGAUUGGAAGGCAUCUUCUGAUCUUCAAAGCUGGGGACCGUAAGGCCUGGCGCUUCAUGAUGAGCCCGCGGCCUAUCAGCUAGUUGGUGAGGUAACGGCUCACCAAGGCUAAGACGGGUAGCUGGUCUGAGAGGACGACCAGCCACACUGGAACUGAGACACGGUCCAGACACCUACGGGUGGCAGCAGUCGAGAAUUUUUCACAAUGGGCGCAAGCCUGAUGGAGCGACGCCGCGUGGGGGAUGAAUGGCUUCGGCCCGUAAACCCCUGUCAUUUGCGAACAAAUUGGUUCAACUAAUACCUGAACCAUUGAUAGUAGCGAAAGAGGAAGGGACGGCUAACUCUGUGCCAGCAGCCGCGGUAAUACNGAGGUCCCAAGCGUUGUUCGGAUUCACUGGGCGUAAAGGGUGCGUAGGUGGUGAGG
rnacentral:rRNA from 1 species